GACGAACGCUGGCGGCGUGCUUAACACAUGCAAGUCGAACGGAAAGGCCCUGCUUUUGUGGGGUGCUCGAGUGGCGAACGGGUGAGUAACACGUGAGUAACCUGCCCUUGACUUUGGGAUAACUUCAGGAAACUGGGGCUAAUACCGGAUAGGAGCUCCUGCUGCAUGGUGGGGGUUGGAAAGUUUCGGCGGUUGGGGAUGGACUCGCGGCUUAUCAGCUUGUUGGUGGGGUAGUGGCUUACCAAGGCUUUGACGGGUAGCCGGCCUGAGAGGGUGACCGGCCACAUUGGGACUGAGAUACGGCCAAGACUCCUACGGGAGGCAGCAGCGGGGAAUAUUGCACAAUGGGCGGAAGCCUGAUGCAGCAACGCCGCGUGCGGGAUGACGGCCUUCGGGUUGUAAACCGCUUUCGCCUGUGACGAAGCGUGAGUGACGGUAAUGGGUAAAGAAGCACCGGCUAACUACGUG
rnacentral:rRNA from 1 species